GUCUGUUCUUCGGUGCUUGCUCGGCCGUCAAUCUAAUCGCCACAACAACUGCCUGCAGGAAUCUAUCAUCGUGCUUGUCUGGAUUUCAACAACUGCAUUAAGGCUUCUAUUUUGUUGUUGACACCAGCAUUUGCAAGGCUUAUUUUGCGACUUAAUCUUCAGCCUCCUGAAUUUGUUACUGGUACUUAUUAUUUUGAGUUGGUCUUAUGAAGUAUUACAUUUACAUUUACUCUCUUUCGCCUAGUUACAAUCAGAUCUGUCUG